rnacentral:lncRNA from 1 species
AAAAGAUUUAGAUGCACUAUUGUAAAGUGGUAGUUCCACUGGAUAUCAUAAGGUGAAUGCACCAAUUUGUAAGUCUCUCUGGAUAAGAGCGUCUGCUAAAUGACUUAAAUGUAUAUGUAAAUGUAAGUUGGCCCACGUGUAGAUUGUUACCCCACGGUAUUAAAACCACUCCAAGAACGUCAUCGAUCAAGAUCACGAUUUUACUUUUGGUUUGUUCCUUGGAACUCUUUUUGUCUCUCUCCCUCUCCCUUUCGCUCUCGUCUUCAGGUUAUCAGAUGACCAGACUUGAACAGAUCCUCAACCCCUACAUCCACCCUACAGAGUCUGAACCAGUGAGAUGUCAAAAAGCCUGGCUAACAACAGCCUCACCUGGUCUACAGGUGCUCUCUUGGCUAUGGCUGAAGAUACAUCAAUUGGUCCUGCAUUACACAAGCUAGAAACAGAACAAACCAAGAUGGAGACUGGUCCAGAGAGAGGAAUGGCAAUAUCUCUGAGCUGAAGCCAGGGCCCAAAUCUAGCUGGAAUCUACACACAAAAUAUAUUAAGG